rnacentral:rRNA from 1 species
GAUGAACGCUAGCUUCAGGCUUAACACAUGAAAGUAGAGGGGAAACGAUAGAGAAAGCUUGCUUUUUCUAGGCGUCGACCGGCGCACGGGUGAGUAACGCGUAUCCAACCUGCCCAACACUUGGGGAUAACCUUGCGAAAGUAAGACUAAUACCCAAUGAUAUCCCAAGAAGACAUCUGAAUGAGAUUAAAGAUUUAUAGGUGAUGGCAGGGGAUGCGUCUGAUUAGCUUGUUGGCGGGGUAAGGGCCAACCAAGGCGACGAUCAGUAGGGGUUCUGAGAGGAAGGUACCCAACAUUGGAACUGAGACACGGUCCAAACUCCUACGGGAGGAAGCAGUGAGGAAUAUUGGUCAAUGGGCGAGAGCCUGAACCAGCCAAGUAGCGUGCAGGAUGACGGCCCUAUGGGUUGUAAACUGCUUUUAUAAGGGAAUAAAGUGAGUCUCGUGAGACUUUUUGCAUGUACCUUAUGAAUAAGGACCGGCUAAUUCCGUGCCAGCCGCCGCAGUAA